AACGAACGCUGGCGGCAUGCCUAACACAUGCAAGUUGAGCGAGAAUCAGAGGGCUUGCUCUCUGAGGACAGCAGCGCACGGGUGAGUAACGCGUGGAUAACGUACCCUAGGGUUGAGGAUAACCCACCGAAAGGUGGACUAAUACUGAAUGUGUUCCGAGAAGGUCAGCCUUCUUUGAAGAAAGUGGGGCAACCCACGCCCAAGGAUCGGUCCGCGUUCCAUCAGCUAGUUGGUAGGGUAAAGGCCUACCAAGGCUACGACGGAUAGCUGGUCUGAGAGGAUGAUCAGCCACACUGGGACUGAGACACGGCCCAGACUCCUACGGGAGGCAGCAGUGGGGAAUAUUGGUCAAUGGGCGAAAGCCUGAACCAGCAAUGCCGCGUGAGUGAUGAAGGCC
rnacentral:rRNA from 1 species